rnacentral:rRNA from 1 species
AGCUAAUCCCUUAAAGCCAUUCUCAGUUCGGAUUGUAGGCUGAAACUCGCCUACAUGAAGCUGGAGUUACUAGUAAUCGCAGAUCAGAAUGCUGCGGUGAAUACGUUCCCGGGCCUUGUACACACCGCCCGUCACACCAUGAGAGUUUGUAACACCCAAAGCCGGUGGGGUAACCUUUUGGAGCCAGCCGUCUAAGGUGGGACAGAUGAUUAGGGUGAAGUCGUAACAAGGUACC